GACGAACGCUGGCGGCGUGCUUAACACAUGCAAGUCGAACGGAAAGGCCCUGCUUUUGUGGGGUGCUCGAGUGGCGAACGGGUGAGUAACACGUGAGUAACCUGCCCUUGACUUUGGGAUAACUUCAGGAAACUGGGGCUAAUACCGGAUAGGAGCUCCUGCUGCAUGGUGGGGGUCGGAAAGUUUCGGCGGUUGGGGAUGGACUCGCGGCUUAUCAGCUUGUUGGUGGGGUAGUGGCUUACCAAGGCUUUGACGGGUAGCCGGCCUGAGAGGGUGGCCGGCCACAUUGGGACUGAGAUACGGCCCAGACUGCUACGGGAGGCAGCAGUGGGGAAUAUUGCACAAUGGGCGGAAGCCUGAUGCAGCGACGCCGCGUGCGGGAUGACGGCCUUCGGGUUGUAAACCGCUUUCGCCUGUGACGAAGCGUGAGUGACGGUAAUGGGUAAAGAAGCACCGGCUAACUACGUG
rnacentral:rRNA from 1 species